rnacentral:pre_miRNA from 1 species
ACAGAGUGCGUUUUUCAGUUUUUGAUACAACGUGACUCUUCGUGUUAUUUAAUAUUUUUUUAUGAUUACUAUUUUUGUUGUUAUUAGAUGAUAAAACAUGAAUAAAACUUUAUGUGUGAGUUAUUUUUUUAUUUUUUUCUAAAUUUUUCAAAUAAAACGAACGGUUAAACGUUGAACACAAAAACCCAAAAAUGCAUUUUAU